ensembl:miRNA
UGCUAUUGUCUUACUGCUACAGCAGGGCUGGGGAUUGCAGUAUCCGCUGUUGCUGCUGCUCCCAGUCCUGCCCCUGCUGCUACCUAGUCCAGUCUCACUGCAUCCCAGA